UACGUAGGGUGCGAGCGUUUGUCCGGAAUUAUUGGGCGUAAAGAGCUUGUAGGUGGUUUGUCGCGUCUGCUGUGAAAAUCCGGGGCUCAACCCCGGACUUGCAGUGGGUACGGGCAGACUAGAGUGUGGUAGGGGAGACUGGAAUUCCUGGUGUAGCGGUGAAAUGCGCAGAUAUCAGGAGGAACACCGAUGGCGAAGGCAGGUCUCUGGGCCACUACUGACGCUGAGAAGCGAAAGCAUGGGGAGCAAACAGG
rnacentral:rRNA from 1 species